rnacentral:rRNA from 1 species
UACGGGGGGGGGCAAGCGUUGUUCGGAAUUACUGGGCGUAAAGGGCGCGUAGGCGGUUCGCUAAGUUGAAUGUGAAAACUCUGGGCUUAACCCAGAGCCUGCAUUCAAUACUGGCGGGCUAGAGUUCUGGAGGGGAUAGGCGGAAUUCCUGGUGUAGCGGUGAAAUGCGUAGAUAUCAGGAGGAACACCGGUGGCGAAGGCGGCUAUCUGGACAGAGUCUGACGCUGAGGCGCGAAAGCUAGGGGAGCAAACAGG